rnacentral:rRNA from 1 species
AGAGCGAACGCUGGCGGCAGGCUUAAUACAUGCAAGUCGAGCGGGCGUAGCAAUACGUCAGCGGCAGACGGGUGAGUAACGCGUGGGAACGUACCUUUUGGUUCGGAACAACCCAGGGAAACUUGGGCUAAUACCGGAUAAGCCCUUACGGGGAAAGAUUUAUCGCCGAAAGAUCGGCCCGCGUCUGAUUAGCUAGUUGGUGAGGUAAUGGCUCACCAAGGCGACGAUCAGUAGCUGGUCUGAGAGGAUGAUCAGCCACAUUGGGACUGAGACACGGCCCAAACUCCUACGGGAGGCAGCAGUGGGGAAUAUUGGACAAUGGGCGCAAGCCUGAUCCAGCCAUGCCGCGUGAGUGAUGAAGGCCCUAGGGUUGUAAAGCUCUUUUGUGCGGGAAGAUAAUGACGGUACCGCAAGAAUAAGCCCCGGCUAACUUCGCGCCAGCAGCCGC